ACGGGGGGGGCAAGCGUUGUUCGGAAUUACUGGGCGUAAAGGGCUCGUAGGCGGCCAACUAAGUCGGAUGUGAAAUCCCCAGGCUCAACUUGGGAACUGCAUCCGAUACUGGAUGGCUUGAAUCCGGGAGAGGGAUGCGGAAUUCCAGGUGUAGCGGUGAAAUGCGUAGAUAUCUGGAGGAACACCGGUGGCGAAGGCGCACAUCUGGCCCGAUACUGACGCUGAGGCGCGAAAGCUAGGGGAGCAAACGGGA
rnacentral:rRNA from 1 species